UGGAGGGGAUCUACAGCAACAGGUCUGCUGGUAAAAAUCAACGUUUGGGUGUGGGUCUAUAGUCCAAGGAACAUUACAAAAUGGGAUUUCAUUCAACUCUGCACUAUAUGAUUCCUCAGAGAGCAGCGCUGAAAGACUUGAAUGAGAGCAGUUAAACAUGUUGGAUGUGUGAUGAAUGACAGGAGGAAGCAUCAAGUGGAGUGUGGUGCAGAUGAAAGCAUGUAUGUCCACAGCGAGCAGAGGAGGAGCUUUCAGUCGAAAUGCUUUCAAGAAAGCACGGGGUUCAUGCUGCUUCCACCGAGACCAGGGACCUGUGGAGCCACACAGCUUUUCUCCAGACACACUGAGCCUCUGGGCCUGCAAGUGCAGGGGUUCUGCUGCCCCCUCCAGCAGAGGCCCUGCAGUGGGAGGGUGAGACCUAAGGUGACCCUGCAGAGCAGAGGAGGAGGAGAUGGAAGGAUGACAGUGCAAUGCAGUCUCAGGUCAAAGCUGGAGAGUGGAACCAAACCAGCAGGAAGGUCCAGGACUGGAACCGGGCCUGAAAUUAAACCACAAGGUUUAGCUGCAGCUGUGAGCCGCUGCUUAGAUCCAGCCAGUGAAACGGCAAAAUCUGCCACAACCCUCUGUGAAAAUAAGAGGCAGGCUGGUCACGGACAGCCCGGUGCCACCAAAGUCUCAGAACUCCAUUUGUAUCUGCCUUCAUUAAUCUGUGAGGACGACGAGCAGGACGGAGAGGCAGAGGAGAUGAGGACCUUAGUGGAGGAAACGCGUGCUUAAGAAUGUGAGAUGAAGCAAGGCUUAAAACCUUCAUACACCGGUGGAGACCAUCCUAACACAGGACCUGGCUCUCCACCUCCACAACACACCGCAGGCCUUUGAUGGCAAGUCAGAGCAGAUAACAGUUUGUCCCUACAGAACCUUUACAAGGACAGAACAUGAAGAAGAAUAGUAUCAAAACAAACUUCUGCUGACACUGCCUGCAGCUUAGACACACGCACACGCACACGCACACGCACACGCACACGCACACACACACGCACACGCACACGCACACACACACACACACACACACACACACACACACACGCACACACACACACACACACACACACACACACACACACACACACACACACACACACACACACCAGCACACGGGCUCCAUAAUUAUAUGUUUUAGAGUCUGCCCAAAAUACAGCUAUGGAGACUAUGGUGUGAGGGCCCCAAAGGCCACAGGAGAAUAAGUGUUUAUGUACCAAAGGGCCACUUGAGAAAAUGUUGACGUAACAGGAUGCCUGUGGACAACUGAUAUGCUGGUGCAACACAAAUGACUUUUAGUGGAACAGGUGUAUUUGUGUCAAAAUAAAACUGGGAUAAAGCACAGCUGCUGAGACAAGACUGGGCCACACAGGAGGGAAAAGAAAACAGAUGGUAAGAUAAACCUAAAGAUAUGUGACACAGACAGCAGGGAAUUAAACAAAAACAAAACAAAUACUUGCAAAAACAAUAUACUGCUAAUUUAACAAAUAUGACCUCAGAGAUUAUUAUUAUUGGAUCAGAACCAAAGCUACAAUAAUCAGAGUAUUGAUCUGUAACUACAUCAGCUUUCAUUUUUAAAAAUGCAGAGCUUCGAUUUGUGGAACUUUAUGAUAAAUACUACUGUGAUUUCCUUGGUGUGAUUUGGCUUUUGACAAAUGCUAUGUGUGGAAAUCAUAUCUUUUUAAUUGGCUGCAUAACUGGCUUACUUCAGUGGACGCACACAUUUGAUUUUAACUUCAGCAUCACAAAAGACUUUAAAAAAUAAAUGAGUUUGGAACCAACAUCAAAAACUGUAAACUCUCUUUUCAUUUUUAAAACAAACCAGGCAAAAAAUAUUGUAACCAUAUCCACCCAGUCUUUAUUUGUGAAAUGUCAAGUUUAUUCUGGGUUUGCAUGUUUUACUUUUCUUUAUUCACUUCAUUCCAGUGUAUUUUGAGCUGUCCAUAAAUAGCUGAAUGUAGAAUUUA